rnacentral:rRNA from 1 species
UACGUAGGGUGCGAGCGUUGUCCGGAAUUAUUGGGCGUAAAGAGCUCGUAGGCGGUCUGUCGCGUCGGUCGUGAAAACCUGGGGCUUAACCCUGAGCUUGCGGUCGAUACGGGCAUGACUGGAGUUCGGCAGGGGAGACUGGAAUUCCUGGUGUAGCGGUGAAAUGCGCAGAUAUCAGGAGGAACACCGGUGGCGAAGGCGGGUCUCUGGGCCGAUACUGACGCUGAGGAGCGAAAGCGUGGGGAGCGAACAGG